GAACGGUCUUCUCUGCUCGCAGUUCCACGCUAGUCACCUCCUCCUGCUCCGUCUCCACAUUGCUCUCUCUGUCGCCGUACUCUAGGCCCUGGGCGUUCCAUGUCGUCUCUCACUGUCGCUGUGCGUGCAUUCGCCGGUUCCUCUGUCUCACCGUCCACGGAGGGAGGAGCCCGGGCAUGGCUAGGCGAGGCCGCACGCCGGCGCCGGCGCCUUCGCUGCUCCUGCCCUCGCCCCACCCCCGUCUCUCCUUCUAGAUAUGGCGGCGCAGCGGAAGGGCUCCAGCACGGCCUUCUUCGCGAUCCUCAUCGCCUCCGUCAAACAUAGGGUCAUGGUCGUCCUCGACUACCUUGCCGCAGUCUUCGCACCGAGGUCUUCUCUUUUCUCAGAUCGAGGCGGUGGAGGACGCCCAGUAAAUUCAGAUGUGUAGCAAUGAACUCAAUAUGACCUGGGUUACUGUUGCAAAAAAUUAUUUUUUUGCUAUAUUAUUUUGUCAGCGCUUAAUUUUCAGAACUUUGUAGGACACGGUGUCUUCAGAAUGAGAGGAUCCUUUCUUGGAUUUAUCUUCUUCAUUGAGAAGAGGUCAUCAGCCAAUUGAAGGGCUCAUUAAAUCUUUAGUAGAGUCUUGGGGUCUUGUGGUAUGAUAGAUCCUGUCUCUUAUCCUGCCACCUCCUCAAACUAUUAUUGAGUUUGCCGCUGGGCCAAUAAAAAAAUCUUGGUGGUUCCAAAACAGCUCUUAUUUUUCUUCUCUUCUCUUCAGACUAGGCGCUCUUUGCAAAAUGUUUUUUUACUAUAAUUGCUGAGGGUGUAUUAUGGGUCCUGAAGUUAUAUGAUUAUGAGAGUUCUUUGUAGUUCAGUUAAAACUUUAGGAUACAAAUAGCACAGUUAAACCUUGCAUAGGAUACCUAAGUAGACUAUGUCACACAAAGGAAGUACUCCAUCAUGUUCAUUCAGACGUGUCUGAAUAUCACCAUCACAUCGCUGUAAAAUUCUAAGACCUGCCAGCACAGCUGUAUGCCUGUAGUUAUUUUGAUGAUUUCCACGCCUACUAUUGUUAUCAAGAGUUUGUGAAGGCUGGUAACUUCUAAAUGGUCGCUGAAUUUUUGUAUCUGCAACCUGAUAAAAAGAUAUAGGUAGAAACUGAUAUUUGUCAGGAUAUAAAAGAUUUUGCUACUUCUUGCGUAGAUGCUUACUACACAUUUUACCUUAAAUUUAUUAUAUAUCGACUGCUACAAAUUCCAGGAAUUAGGAAGACUACAUGUGAAUUUAGUUUUCAUUACCCCAUUCUCAAAUUUGCUUCUUAUUCAUGAAGCUUUGCAUGUAUCAAACCAUCCUGAACUUCACUGUGACCUGUACUCACGUUUCUCAGUCUAUGCUUAAAUACACAAUAGAUCAGGUCUAGCUGCAGGCAUAUAUGGCGGAGUGAGUUCAUAUUCAUGUUUAAUGAAUUCUUCUAUACAGUUUCCAUUUCUUAUACCAAGUGAAAAUUGAGGUGUAUGAUUUAUAUUGUUUUCCAAGCAAGAAACACAGGUUACAACUCUGGGCUACUGAAAUAUGCAACUUAUCACCUAUUUGCACUUUUAUCUAAUAACUCAUUAAAUAUUUGGACUUCAAAUUUCAUCGUGUAAAUGAAACAUGCAAGGUUUGAGAUCACACAAAUCAGCAUGUCACUAAAAUAGCUUCCUGAAAAAGAAAUCUGAGCCCCCAAAAGUGUCAGAAUACAUUAUUUGAAGUGUUUACUGCAGCAUGUCCAGGCCACGUAGGUAGGGGCGAAGCUACGUUGAAGACUGUGGGUGCCCAACAAAAUUUGAAAAAUCACCAUUACGAGGAGACUUUCAUCAUGGUUAUAGAUUAAAUUUUCAUAACUAUAAGAGAAAGGCACCCCCCCCCCUCUAAUUUGCUCUAGCUUCGCCCUUGCACAUAGGGUAUUUGUACCACUUAGUUCAGUUACUAUUACAAGCAAGCUUAGGCUUUCUGGUUAAUUUCACAGUUAGUUUACCUCGGUUAUGAUUUUAUAUUAGUCUGUUGUGCCAAUCAUGAACAUUUACUUAUAAAUUUUGGGUUUGUGCAAAAAUCUUGAUUGUGCAUUUAUUUGUAAUUUCCUUGAUAGUUGAACUGGCAAAUGAUUUCAUCAGCGCAAGAUCUACCUGGUGAAUGGUGAUGGAGUGCUGGUUGAGAAAGCUCACCUCCGUCUCCAUCUCGAAGACAUGCGAUUUGUAGAUUGACGCAUACACUCCUAUAUGUAUUUUCCCUACCUACUAUUUUAGCGAUUACUCUUCAUGUAGGGUUAAGUGUGCCUACGAGUGCCCUACCCAGAUCUGCCAAUAGAUUUUUUUUCAACCUGUCCAUACUAAUGUUGCAUGUAUUGCUAUUGUUUUCUUCAUGUUCGGUAAUUCCUUCUUGGCUUUAACUAUUUUGUGUAUGUGCCCUACUUUUGAAGUUGGAUAUGUUGGACGCUGGUGCACAGACUGCCUAGCUUGCCUCAACUUCCAGUCAGCGAAGCCUGAUUUAUGUGCUCCUUUGGGUGCACUCAGCAAGCGGUAUUCACAGAGAUGGAGUCAUCAAACAAUUUCUGAAAAUGAUUUUCUGUUUUGAAUGACAACAUAGAACAAGAUGGCUGCUUCAACGUUUGGCGAAAUGCACGAGGUUAUAUUUAUCAUGCCAUGAUUGCCUUGCCAUCUCAAUUCUAUGUGCAUAGCAACAGUUUCUGAGAAACACACAUCAACAUGUUUAGGAACUUUCAUCGUGUCACUCCUCUACUCAUUAUGUUGUUCAAUUAUGCUUUGUCUACUAUGCCUUGGUAAUAUCAACAGCUGUCUGAUUCAAUAUAUAUUUUUCAAAUGUCAA